rnacentral:rRNA from 1 species
CCUACGGGGGGCAGCAGUGAGGAAUAUUGGUCAAUGGGCGCAAGCCUGAACCAGCCAAGUCGCGUGAGGGAAGACGGCCCUACGGGUUGUAAACCUCUUUUGCCGGGGAGCAAGCCUGAGCACGUGUGCCCAGGCGGAGAGUACCCGGAGAAAAAGCAUCGGCUAACUCCGUGCCAGCAGCCGCGGUAAUACGGAGGAUGCGAGCGUUAUCCGGAUUUAUUGGGUUUAAAGGGUGCGCAGGCGGGCUGUUAAGCCGGCGGUAAAAAUUCAGGGCUCAACCCUGUCGAGCCGUCGGAACUGGCAGCCUUGAGUGGGCGAGAAGUAUGCGGAAUGCGUGGUGUAGCGGUGAAAUGCAUAGAUAUCACGCAGAACGCCGAUUGCGAAGGCAGCAUACCGGCGCCCAACUGACGCUGAGGCACGAAAGCGUGGGGA